CCAAUGAUGAAUUUUUUUGUGUUCAGAGUUGUCAAAGUGAUGAUAUAAAAAAAUAUUCCUCUAAGAAGUUCUGAAGGGA